rnacentral:rRNA from 1 species
UACGAAGGGGGCUAGCGUUGUUCGGAAUUACUGGGCGUAAAGCGUGCGCAGGCGGCUUCUCAAGUCAGGGGUGAAAGCCCAGAGCUCAACUCUGGAAUUGCCUUUGAGGCUGAGUGGCUUGAGUACGGGAGAGGUGAGUGGAAUUCCCAGUGUAGAGGUGAAAUUCGUAGAUAUUGGGAAGAACACCGGUGGCGAAGGCGGCUCACUGGCCCGUAACUGACGCUCAUGCACGACAGCGUGGGGAUCAAACAGG